UUCCCCUCAGGUGAAGCGGCGUCGUGAGCAGCAGCAGAGUUCUCUGUAAGAAAGUGAGGAAAAGUCUGAUAAAAGCUGGAUUUAGGUGAUAAAACUGUAGUUUUAUAAAGCAGAGCCCUCGUUUACAUAAAGCGCUGAGCUGCUGGAGCUGCGGAGCAGAUUGUGGAGAGUGAGGAGCGAUAUCAUGAGAGGAAAAUCCCAAGAUCAACAAAGGCACAACCCUGUCGUAAGCUGGAAGCUGUUGGAACACCAGUAUUCACUGUCUACAGCCAAGUGGGUUUUGCAGCUGCCAUCCAAGGAAGAAGGGCCUGUUCCAAAAUUAAGACCUUCAAGCUUGUCUAACAUUUAGUGGACAGUAGAUAAAUCUGGAGCUGAAGGUGUUUGUUCGUCAGUAUACAUGUUGAAGGAUCAGGAACCUACAACUCUGCAACAAAUGGCAGGAGCUGCUGGUUUUGCAUCUCCAAAAACAACUUAAACUGCACGUCCAGGUUGUUUGGCAAAGCUUUUACGUUUUGUCAAAAACAAAAAACAAGCCUUGAGGCCUGUUCAAUUUUCAAUUGGCCUGUUCUGUGAGUAAGUAAAGAAUAUUUUUAGCACUUAAAGACAUUCUUCCUGUUUGGUCAUUUCUAAUAUCAUAAAUGCCCUCAUGCUAAAAAAACAAGCUCUGUAACUGUGGGUCUUACUUACACUGAGGCCUGGCACUACUUGUUUAAGGUUUGCCACUAAAGCAACAUACUGUACAUAUUGUUUCUUAAAGAUAUUGUGAAAGCACUAUAGCACUAAGCAUUUGAUGGGCAAUGUAGCUCGCAUGUAGGCCUUAGGACAGCAUUGGUGACUAACAUUUGUCUAUUCUGAACCUGAAGUAAGAAGAGUUUUGUCCUUCAUUUGUCUUUAGUUAAAUGUCAGAUUUUUGGCCUGUAGUUUCUCUGAAUGAAUAAAAAAAGGAAACAUACAGGGAGCAUAAUGUAAGGGAAAGUUUAAUUAAAGGUUUUCGGAAAACAGAGACUGCGACCUCAAGCCAUGCCACCAUUAUCCGCCUGCCUCCCUUUGGAUGAGCCAUGUAGCUACGGCAAUUUCCGGGAUGAAAAGAGGCACAUGGUGCAACCACCCGAGACAGCCGUGGAUGAAUAGCAGCAGGUUGGGAAUGGAGGACGAUGAUGGGACAGAGAUGGGAAAAGUAAGAUGAAUACCUCUCUCUACAGAAGAUGACAUGCUGGUUCAUGGGCCUAUUAGCCCCCGAGCUGCCUCCCAGCUGCCCCUGAGGGAGUUAGCAUGUGGCGGGGCUGCUCUGGGGGCGCUGGGUGGAAAGUCUCAAAGUCUCCUUUAUUUUUGUCUCCUAUAUCAUUGUUUAAGUCAAUGAUGAUGUACUGUAGCUUAUGAGAAUGUUCUGUUUGUGGGAUGGGGAGUUACUCGUUGUGGUGCUGGACUAAAGCUUGGGCUGAAAGACAAAUGGGGCUAGUACGGCAGUGUUUACAAAUCAUUCUACUUAUAGACUUUACCACUUUUAAUUUUGAAAUUAAAAAUGCAGAAUAUUUGAAACGACAGCUAAUGUGUGAGAAAUGGGGUUUGAGAAAACAUCAAAUACAUGAGUUUAAGUUG